GGGUAGAGUAGAAGAUGGAGUGCUGGUAGGGAUGAAACCUCCACUUGAUAGCCCUUUGUGGAGUGUUUACUAGGGGUCAUAGCAAAGGCCUGUGAGCACCUCCCAACAACCACUACUGGGACUGUGGACUACAGAAUUUCUACUUGAGAGGCAUUUCUGCCUUGGAAUGGGACAUUAACAGAAGCUAUCCCUAUGACUGGAGGACAUAAAAUGAUCUUGACACCUAAAAUACACAUGCUGUCUGGAGUGAUGUCAGAGAAACACUCUAACGGGGAUAGCAGUGCCCAGAAGAGUACAUAAUAAAAUGGGAAUGGAUCUUGCUACCUGAGGAGUGCAAAGAGGAUAUACUCAUGAGCUGCGAGCCUCUUUCUCUCCUAGGACUGAUCCUGGAACUGGACACAAUUGGAGACACAUUAUUUUACCAAGGCUUUGACUGGAAUGGUCUAUUUUCAGACAUGAUCAAUCUGCUUGGGGAAUUGAAGUUGACUGCAGAGAGCCAAUAAAAAGCCCAUGGAAAGACUGGUUCCCUAAGAAGUUUCCUGACCCGUGAAAACUAAAGUCAUAGUAUUCUGAAGACUAGAGAAAUUCAACGAAGCCUGUCAAUCUCCCUUGUUUGAAAUCCCAAGGAGUAUGUUGGCAAUGAGAAACCAAUAUGGCCCAGUGGGAUUUCAAAGGCUCUGGGACCAUUGCAAAAAAGAAGGGUGCGUGAGACUCUACACAUGAAUUAGUGGAAUGUGGAGGACAAAGCAACGCCACCUAGGAUGUUAAUCCACCAUGUGGACUUCCCCUGUUCUGGGAAGGCUUCUAAGAUUUCCCCUCUCUCUAUUGUUUCUUGUGUAAAAGCAUGUACUUACUGUAAAUCCUGCCCUUAGAUCAAGACAACUUUGAUGUUAUUGUAUUUCAAUUGUCCUACAUGUCCCUUCUGAGUCACCCUUUCCCUGUGGUAUACAACCCCUGGGUCUGAGGGGUAAUGGCACUGGGAUCCACCAUCUUGUCUCACUGCCGCCUGAGAUGCAGACAGGGCUUCUGUUUUUAAGUCUCCAUUAAAUGUUUCUUUUUGAGAAACG
rnacentral:lncRNA from 1 species